rfam:Clostridium sp. MSTE9 ctg120006483004, whole genome shotgun sequence.
GAACUGAAUACGGGGCGCUGCGUAUACGCGGCUGAGAUGAGGCGGAUUGACGCCUAUGUCCCUUUGACCUGAUCUGGAUAAUGCCAGCGUAGGAAACUUUUGCAGCACAGCA